rnacentral:lncRNA from 1 species
GUUCACGCCAUUCUCCUGCCUCAGCCUCCUGAGUAGCUGGGACUACAGGCACCUGCCACCAUGCCCGGCUAAUUUUUUGUAUUUUUAGUAGAGACAGCGUUUCACACCGUGUUAGCCAGGAUGGUCUCCAUCUCCUGUCCUUGUGAUCUGCCAGCCUCGGCCUUCCAAAGUGCUGGGAUUACAGUCAUGAGCCACCAUGCCCGGCUGAUCUAAUGGUUUUAUAAAACGGAAAUUCCCCUGCACACACUCUCUUGCCUGCCGCCAUGUAAGACAUGCCUUUGCUCCUCCUUUGCCUCCCACCGUGACUGUGAGGCCUCCCCAGCCAUGUGAAACUCCUUGUUUCUAGAAAUCUGUGAGUAUCAAGACUUCUUCCUUCAUGACAGUCAUUUCCACGUCUGCAUGUUUUACCAUAUGCCAUGCAAACCCUGGGUUUAUUUUAAAACAAUUGGAACAGGGGAGUUUGACACCAGAGGGAGAUGUUAUGUCUUCAAGCUACUCUUGGUUUACGAACUGGAUCUGACAGACAGCAG